rnacentral:piRNA from 1 species
UGAUCGAGAAUUACUGUCAGUUUAUGA